AGUCAUUUCAAGUAUCUAUGUCCAUUGCAGCUGCUCGGGAACUCAUAGGAAGAUCUCAGUUUUUGCAAACUCAUGGAAGAAUCACCUGGCAUGAUGGAAGUGGUUCAUUGCAUGAUAUUCAACUGUCGUUGCCAUCCAGUCCGGAACCAGAAGAUGGUGAUAAAGUAUAUAAGAAUGAAGAUUUAUUAAAUGAAAUAAAACAACUUAAAGAGGAAAUAAAGAAAAAAGAUGAAAAGAUCCAACUAUUAGAACUUCAGCUUGCAACUCAGCAUAUCUGCCACCAAAAAUGUAAAGAGGAAAAAUGCACUUAUGCUGAUAAAUAUACCCAAACACCCUGGAGACGAAUUCCUCCUCAAGUACUACAGCCUUCCAGCAGCCUUCCCAGACCCACAGACCACACCCAGGGAAAACUAAUAAAGCCACAACGUAUCGAGGCCCGCAGUGAAUGCGCAAUCCAAGACAUGCAUCAGGGCAUUGCACAUCCAGAAGAAAGCUUUACACACGUCUUGCAACAAGAAAGCAACUAUGGUUUGGAAGAGCAGCCUUUUUCAUCAGGCCCACAAUUAACAAUGGAUGUGGCUAAGAGUACACCUUCUGAAGCAAACUUAAACAUUACUGUAAAUGCUCAAGAGCCUUAUCAUUUGGCAAACAAUCAAAUUAGUGACAUGCAGUUUAUACCCACUUCUCUUCAGACACCUCCCGAGUCAAGUACAGUAGACCAGGCUAAGAGAGUUGGAAGAAAUCAGUCUCCGCCAGUGGGUUAUACGUCUCA
rnacentral:sRNA from 1 species